rnacentral:rRNA from 1 species
CCUACGGGAGGCAGCAGUAGGGAAUAUUGCUCAAUGGGGGAAACCCUGAAGCAGCAACGCCGCGUGGAGGAUGAAGGUUUUCGGAUUGUAAACUCCUUUUGUUAGAGAAGAUAAUGACGGUAUCUAUAGCAUAAGCACCGGCUAACUCCGUGCCAGUAGCCGCGGCAAUACGGAGGGUGCAAGCGUUACUCGGAAUCACUGGGCGUAAAGAGCGCGUAGGCGGGCUAGUAAGUCAGAUGUGAAAUCCUAUGGCUUAACCAUAGAACUGCAUUUGAAACUGUUAUUCUAGAGUAUGGGAGAGGUAGUUGGAACUCUUGGUGUAGGAGUGAAAUGCGUAGAGAUCGAGAGGAAUACUCAUUGCGAAGGCGAGCUGCUAGAACAUAACUGACGCUGAUGCACGAAAGCGUGGGGAGCGAACGGGAUUAGAUACCCGGGUAGUC